GACGAACGCUGGCGGCGUGCUUAACACAUGCAAGUCGAACGGAAAGGCCCUGCUUUUGUGGGGUGCUCGAGUGGAGAACGGGAGUGUAACACGUGAGUAACCUGCCCUUGACUUUGGGAUAACUUCAGGAAACUGGGUCUAAUACCGGAUAGGAGCUCCUGCUGCAUGGUGGGGGUUGGAAAGUUUCGGCGGUUGGGGAUGGACUCGCGGCUUAUCAGCUUGUUGGUGGGGUAGUGGCUUACCAAGGCUUUGACGGGUAGCCGGCCUGAGAGGGUGACCGGCCACAUUGGGACUGAGAUACGGCCCAGACUCCUACGGGAGGCAGCAGUGGGGAAUAUUGCACAAUGGGCGGAAGCCUGAUGCAGCAACGCCGCGUGCGGGAUGACGGCCUUCGGGUUGUAAACCGCUUUCGCCUGUGACGAAGCGUGAGUGACGGUAAUGGGUAAAGAAGCACCGGCUAACUACGUG
rnacentral:rRNA from 1 species